rnacentral:rRNA from 1 species
UACGGGGGGGGCAAGCGUUGUUCGGAAUUACUGGGCGUAAAGGGCUCGUAGGCGGCCAACUAAGUCGGAUGUGAAAUCCCCAGGCUUAACCUGGGAACUGCAUCCGAUACUGGAUGGCUUGAAUUCGGGAGAGGGAUGCAGAAUUCCAGGUGUAGCGGUGAAAUGCGUAGAUAUCUGGAGGAAUACCGGUGGCGAAGGCGGCAUCCUGGACCAUUACUGACGCUGAAUCGCGAAAGCUAGGGGAGCAAACGGG